rnacentral:misc_RNA from 1 species
GCUUUCUCCACUGUAACUGCAGCUACAUUCCCCUCUAUGUAUAGUGUAAAAGGAAGCAAAAUCAUUGCUGCCAUUGGAGCCAUGUAUAAUAACAGAUUCAUAGAGUGCAAUUUCUCAGCAUCAGAGGAUAACAACAACCCCUGAACAACAGAUUUCAAGGCUCUCCCAGCAGUUGAACCUAAAGCCAUCAAGAACCCAAACAAAUGGAACAAUGGCUCACUAUUGCUAGCCAAAACAAUACCAAGAACCACAGGGACAAGAGCUAAAUAAACCUCAGCAGUUUCUUUCUUACAAGUAAUCACAAAAGCAAAAAUAGCAGUAAAAAAUGGGGUAGUAGCACCAAUUGCUUGAUUAAACGAUACAGGAAGGUACCUCA